rnacentral:rRNA from 1 species
UACGGGGGGGGCAAGCGUUGUCCGGAGUUACUGGGCGUAAAGCGCACGCAGGCGGUCUGCUAAGUUUGGAGUGACAGUUGGUGGCUUAACUGCCAAAGUGCUUCGAAAACUGACAGACUUGAGGGCUUCAGAGGGACACGGAAUUCCGGGUGGAGUGGUGAAAUGCGUAGAGAUCCGGAGGAACACCAAAGGCGAAGGCAGUGUCCUGGGGAGUACCUGACGCUCAGGUGCGAAAGCCAGGGGAGCGAACGGG